rnacentral:rRNA from 1 species
GACGGGGGAUGCAAGCGUUAUCCGGAAUCACUGGGCGUAAAGCGUGUGUAGGCGGUGAUACAAGUCACUGGUGCAAAACUCUGGCUUAACCAGAGGAAAGCCAGUGAUACUGCAUGGCUAGAAUGGGGGAGAGGUAGAAAGAAUUCCAUAAGUAGCGGUGAAAUGCGUAGAUACAGGAAAGAACACCGGUGGCGAAAGCAUUCUACUGGGACUAAACUGACGCUGAGGGAAGAAAGCUUGGGGAGCGAAUGGG